UUAGUCUUCCUCAAUUUGUUUCAAGUGUUAAAGUGGACGUAUGUAAGAGACAGAGAGUCAGUGUUCGAUGCGAAGAUGGGACACACUUUGCUCUGCGCGCUGGGGUUAUUCUUGCUGAAUUUACUCUACCGUGUACAAGCUCAAGAUGCUGUGCUGACCAUUGAGCCAAACUGGACCACUGUUUUUAUUGGAGAGUCUGUUGUUAUAUUUAAGGACAGUUCAAACUUACAUUUGUUUUUUACAUACUGUAUGCAAGAAAUAUGUAGGAUCCAAUGAGUGCAUGUAACCCACCAAUUAUAAAUCAUAACGUUAUC